GUUAACUUGCUCUUCAUGCCAUUGGACCACCACUGGGUCUUAAAGAAGAAUUGCAUGAAUUCAGGUGGCUUCUCAACUGUGUUUCUGGUACGUACCCAUGGUGGGAUACGUUGCGCACUGAAACGAAUGUAUGUUAAUAAUGUGCCAGACCUCAACAUAUGCAAGAGAGAAAUCACAAUUAUGAAAGAGUUAUCUGGGCACAAGAAUAUUGUGAGCUAUUUGGAUUGUGCUGUUAACACUAUAAGUGAUAACGUUUGGGAGGUACUCAUUCUCAUGGAGUACUGUCGAGCUGGGCAAGUUGUGAAUCAAAUGAAUCAGCGUCUGCAGACAGGCUUUACUGAGUCAGAAGUAAUGAGAAUAUUUUGUGAUACCUGUGAAGCUGUUGCCCGGUUGCAUCAGUGCAAAACACCUAUAGUUCACCGGGAUCUAAAGGUGGAGAACAUAUUGUUAAACGAUAAUGGGAACUAUGUUCUCUGUGAUUUUGGCAGUGCUACCAACAAAUAUCUGAAUCCUCAAAAAGAUGGUGUUAAUGUGGUUGAAGAAGAAAUUAAAAAGUAUACGACGCUAUCAUACAGAGCUCCUGAGAUGAUUAAUCUUUAUGGAGGAAAACCAAUUACUACCAAGGCAGAUAUCUGGGCACUUGGCUGCUUGCUGUAUAAACUUUGUUUCUUCUCACUUCCCUUUGGAGAAAGUCAAGUUGCUAUUUGCGAUGGAAGCUUUACCAUUCCAGACAAUUCUCGAUACUCCCAUAGUAUACACUGUUUGAUAAGAUAUAUGCUUGAACCAGAUCAAGAACAGAGGCCUGAUAUCUUUCAAGUAUCUUCCUUUGCCUUUAAACAUGCCAAAAAGGAUUGUCCAGUGUCUAAUAUUAAUAAUUCUCCUAUCCCUUCAACUCUUCCUGAACCCAUGACAGCUAGUGAGGCAGCUGCUAGAAAAAGCCAAAUAAAAGCAAGAAUAACAGAUACUGUUGGACCAACAGAAACCUCAAUUGCACCACGACAAAGACCAAAGGCCAAUUCAAGUACUGCCACUUCUAGUGUGCUGACGAUCCAGAGCUCAGCAACUCCAGUCAAAGUACAAGUCCCUGGUGAAUUUGGUAAUCGUGGGCAAAAAGGAGCCAUGCGCCCAGGGAAUGGGCCAGAAAUGUUACAGUCCCAAGGGACCAACCAGCAUCCCCCACAGCAGAACAGAGUUCUGCAGCAGCUGCAGCAAGGGGACUGGAGACUACAGCAGCUACACCAUUUGCAUCACCAGCAGCAGCAACCUACAGUUCAGGAUGCUUACAUUCAGCAGUAUCAACAAGCAAUGCACCAGCAGAUGGUCCAACAGCAGCUGUUGAUGCAGUCUGUGUACCAGCAGCAACCUUCCCAAUCUCAGUAUCCUGCUAUGGUGCAGCAAUAUCAGCAUGCUCUCCUACAGCAGCAGAUGCUGGCUCAGCAGCAACAGCGGUCACAACAGGCACAGUCUCCUGAAUAUAUCACUUCUCCACAAGACUUCUCACCAGCCUUAAUCUCCUACCCUGGGUCACUUCCAGUGCAUGCUGGAACAGUGGCAGAUUGUCCCUACCCUGCAAGCAGGCCACGUAUUCUUGAUGCUGAAGCAAUUGCCAGUUACCCAAAGCAGAGCAUUAAUAACCCACCUGAUAUGUCAGGCUGGAACCCAUUUGGAGAGGACAAUUUUUCCAAGUUGACAGAGGAGGAGCUGCUGGACAGAGAAUUUGACCUGCUAAGAACAAACAGGCUGGUGGACAGGAGGGCAUCUUCAGAUAAGAAUGUGGAGCCCCAUUCUGCUCCACAGAAAAAUCAUCCUGAAGAUCCGUUUGGUUCUGUUCCUUUCAUUUCUCACGCAGGUUCCCCUGGAAAACAAGUGGAUAACUCGGCCAGCAAUCAAGGAAAUAACUUAGGGACCCCAACCAAGGCUGGAAAACUGAGCCAUGCUUUUAGAGAUCCCCGACCGGGGAGGAAAACUGCAGAGGGACAAGUGACAAAAGGUGGCGAUGAGUCAGAGAGUGAUUUUGAAUCUGAUCCUCCUUCUCCCAAGAGCAGUGAGGAAGAAGAAGAACAGGAGGAUGAAGAAGUUUUGCAGGGAGAGAAUGGAGACUUCAAUGAUGACAAUGAUACAGAACCAGAGAAUUUAGGUCACCGACCUCUCCUCAUGGACUCUGAGGAAGAGGUAGAGGAAGAGGAGGAAGAGAAGCAGAGUUCUGAUUCCGAUUCUGAUCGUACCAAGCAAAAAUCUACAGAAGGGCUCCUAAGCACUAGGUUCAGAGAUGAUGUGGGCAGUGGUGAAAUCAAAGAACCCAGUUCAAUGCAUAUGUCCUUGUCUGAGAUGCCAAAUACUGUAACCAAGGUGAAACCUGACCAAGAAUUUGAUGUGUUUGGGGCAGUGCCCUUUUUUACUCUGCAGCCUCAGGCAAGAGAGAAGAUAGGCAAAGAUGUCUCUUCUCAGAUGGCUUUUCCUGGCAUGAACCAAGAGCAGGAUGACUUUGAUGUUUUCACAAAAGCCCCUUUCAGCAGAAAGGUGUCUCAGCAAGAUGGCCAGGUGGCAGGUACUGAGCCUCUGCUCUCCCCCACCUCUCCACGGAGUGUUGAUAUUUUUGGCUGCACGCCAUUUCAGCCUUCCCUUCUCCCCAAGACUGGUGGAAGUAAAGAGGACCUGUUUGGGCUGGUUCCUUUUGAAGAGAUCACAGGGAGUCACCAGCAGCAACAGAAGGUGAAGCAGCAGCGUAACCUGCAGAAACUUUCUUCCCGCCAAAGGCGCAUGAAACAGGAGGUCUCAAAGAACAACGGAAAGCGCCACCAUGGUACCCCAACCACCACGAAGAAGGCAUUGAAACCGAGCUACCGCACCCCAGAGAGAGCCCGCAGACACAAAAAAGCAGGCCGCAGGGACUCACAGAGCAGCAACGAGUUCCUGACUAUCUCGGACUCCAAAGAGAACAUAAGCGUUGCGUUGACUGACAGCAAAGAUCGAACCAACCCUCUGCAGACAGAUGAGAGUCUGCUGGAUCCUUUUGGAGCCAAACCCUUCCACCCACCGGACUUGAUGCGGCAUCCCCAGCAUCAAGGGUUUGGUGACAACCGUGGGGAUCACGGCACAGUAGUAGUGGCUGGUAGACCUAGGCAGAGCUCCUUGCAUGGAGCCAUUCAUGGUGGUGAUGGGCUGAAAACAGAUGACUUUGGUGCAGUACCCUUCACAGAACUGGUUGUGCAGAGUGCGCAGAGUCAGCAGCAACAGACACUAGAGUUAGAUCCCUUUGGAGCAGCUCCGUUUCCUUCCAAACAGUAAAUGCUUCCAAUGGGUUCCACCCCUCUGACUUACUUGAUAGAGAUUUUAAUUAGUGGAGUAAUUUAUCUGGUUGAAUUGGCAGGGACCUGGGCUGUACAGUUUGUUCAAGUUCAAGAAGGCAUGGCCAGCUUGCAUGAUGACAUUUAGAGGGAUGGCAAAUUUUUAUUGGGGUUUUUUUUGAGAAAAAUAGAAAAAAAACCCAAACUGGGAGUGUCAUUUUGUUAUGACACGUGCCUCCCAGAAAGAAAAAUCAGGUAUGAGUCAUUGUCUGCCACUGACUUUGGGCCCUGGAACAUACUGUCAUUCUGCACUUUUGUGUUGCCUUUUCAGUCCUCUGUGAUGUGCUGAGAUGGAGGGAGAGGGACAGUCAGAGAGCACAUGAAAGACAUUUUCCAUACAUACAGAACAGAAGCAGUAAGCAGCAAGUAGCUUGCUGAAGCUGAUUGCUACUCUGCCAGUAAACUGCAUUUCACACCACAAAGCCUUAUGGGCAGGACUGCUGUCCUGCUGCACAGUACCUCUGAGACAUCAGGUGCUUGGGAGCACGCGGUGCUGGUAGGUGAUGGAAGGUGAUGCGAACAGACUCGUUGAGGACAAGAUUUUGUUACUGUGUUGCAGAAGUUUGUGCUGUGUAGGCAGGACGGCUUCUCAACUGCCUCACAACUUGUGCCAAGCCACGUACACUGUCUGCAGAGCAAGUACGACUCGGGACGGUCCAGUCUGCCUUUUUUCCAUGGCAGUUGUAGAGAGGAAGCAGAAAGAGGUAGUUCCUCUGCUUGUCUCAACGUUGUAUCCUGCUCUGCUGAAUGCUGAUGAGUAGAUAAUUGGAUGUUUUUAUAUGGAGGACAUAGGUGUUUGUGGUUGUCUCCCCCACUUUCACAGGAGGUAAAGUGAAAUAUUUAGGGUUGUGCUUUGGGUUUUUUCCAAAGUUUCCUGAUGGUUAUACAGUCAUCUUAAGACUUGUGAGGGUGGGGCUGGAUCCAUUACAGUAUCUGUUGAAAACAACACAUUAAAAACGUGUCACUUGACUCCUCUGGGGGUUGGUUUGAUAAAAGGCUUCCUCAGAUAUGUGAGAUUGCUUCCACUGGUCCUGGAAUUUGAAAGUAACACAUACGUAUAUGUACACUGUCAUUACCUUUAUCUUCCUUGUUUUCAUUUUUCUCACAGUGUGAAAGUGAAAUAUUACAGCUGUGCUUGGUUAAAUAUGUCUUUUUCAGGCUUAGAAAUUAAGCUUUUAGGAGAUUAUAAGUAGAAAUGUUUCAACUCUAUUUGCACAGGAUUUUCCUAGGCUUUAUUACUACUGUUCUCACCUGUUUUUUUGUGCCAAAGGCUGUAAGAAGCGCACGCCAAGUUGUGUAGCAUUUUCUGAUACUCAGGUUAACUGUCUUUUUUUUUUUCUCUACACGUGCUUAUGAGCUGCCUUCCUACAGUAUCCUUCUGAACUGUUACUUACCUGCCUAAAGAGCUGUUGGAGCAGAGUAUGACAUGACAAAUGGGGCAGGUGGGUGGAAACAAAAUGAAAAUAAAACAGACAACUGACCCAUGGUCUUAAAUGUGGCUAGUCCUUGCCAAAGCCACGCAGGUGCUGCUGGUGGAAAAGCAACUUCAGGGCUUGCUCGGCUGUUUGGUGCCAGAGGAAAGGGUUAACAACGUGUAUGGGACUAGGGCUCAGCUCCAAGCAGAGGGAAAAUGCUGUGCAUCAUCAGACUUAUCAUGGGCCUAAAUAUUGAGGUAAAUUAAGAAUAGGGGUAAGUGUGUUUGGUUUUUGCCUGUUUAUCCUGAGACUUCAGGCUGAGGAGCACUACAGGUUUUCUUUGUGUGACAGGUUGGUUUGGUUUUUGGUAGAGGGUCCGUAAGUGGUUUAUAUUACAGUACAGGAAAGCUGGAGUGAGGUUGUACACAGAAACUGAGACCUGAGAUAAAAGCAAGCUGUAAAACCAUGAUACUCUACAAGUGGCAUAAUGCCUCUGGCUGCAUAUGAGUUACGGCCGAUAUUUACUUCCUGAUGGCCUUAAUAAACCUUGUUCUUUGUAUUCUAGUUAUGAAACAGGUUUUUGCAUAAAUGUAACUUUUUCGUUUCUAGAGUUAAAAUUAUUUUAUCCUUUCUUGUGACUGAAAAGAGAUUAGUAUGCCUCGCCAAGUUGUCUUUGUGUGGUGCAUAAUGUUUGUACACAACUAAACCCUAGUUUGGGUUUAAUUUCAGCUAAGAUCCACUGUUCAACAGAGACAAAACACGGUACUGCUGGGGAAUGUGACAGCCUUUUGCCUUCAUUUGGGGUGUGUGUGUGUGUGUGUGCUCGUGUGUGUGCUUGCCAUGGGGUGUAUCAUGACCUUACCUGAAAUACAGGAAAGACCUUGUUGCACUAGACAUGUAUCGUACUGUCUGUGAAGACAAUAAUGGCAAGGUAAGGAGCUGACACUUCCUUUCCCACUGAAAAUGUCAAUUGAUUUUUACAGCUUUCAGCAUGUUGGGAUGACCGAACUGCAGGCUUUUUAGAAUCAGCUGCUUGAGAGAGAGAUAUUCUGUCCAAAGGUACUAAGAAGCCCUUAACAGUUGCAGACAUUGAAAGAAAAGUAAGAUAGUUAUGUUUCUCUGCGGACUCUCAAACGGCCUUGAGAUGUCCGCAUUUGCUUUGGCUGAACUGUGUAAUGUGGGAUUUGUGGAUACCACCUUUGGAGGAGAUAACUUAAUCAUUCUGGGUGUCCCAGUUAGUAAAACCAAGUACUGUGAAAAUAAGUUGAUAUAUUUGCUACUGUGAGAAUAAGAGUUUAUGUGGAGUUUUUUAUACUAUAUCGUGUAUUUUUAUAUAUGAAAAGUAUAUAUAAAAUAUACACAUGCUCGCACACAUCAUGUAUCUCUUGGAGUUGCUGUGUUUCUAGUAAUACAGCAGCCACAAUCACUUUCAUGUGACUUGAGGGAGUGAAUAUGAAUGAAAGCUGCAAAAGAAUAAAGAAUGGCAAAGGGUGGCUGCUGCGUUACUUUUCCAUAGUGCUUAUUUUGAAAGGAAAAUCAAGGAAAUUGUGUGUAUAGCUCAAUUUGUGACUAAGGCAUCACAUAAUAUUAAAGAGCAUAAAAAUUAUGUUAAAAUUGCUGGCAUUCAGCUUUUAAGUGCACUUUCCUGAACUACACUUCAAUUUCUUGUUAGACUUCAAGUUUCUAAAGCUUUUUUGUGUACCACUAAACAGAGAACUUUUAACUUUUUUGUGAAACUGAUGUACGUCAUAAAAUACUUGCAGUUGUUAAAUAAACAGAUGUGAUAACAGUGACUUUGUAGAUCUCUUUAAACAUUGCUUUAUUAAGUAUUCACAUUUAGGCUUUAAUUUACUCAUUAUAAGCAGUGCUGCUUCUGCUGAUUUCAUUUUGUGGCUGUAGACCUGUCACUCU